rnacentral:hammerhead_ribozyme from 1 species
ACCCAGAUGGAGAGUCUCAUACAGGACGAAAUGACCAUCCUGGAU